ensembl:lncRNA
GUUUAACACUUUGACGUUGAUCAUGUGAAAGUGUGUGUGUUGUUGUGAGGAGGACAAUGACUAUCGAUUGGAUUCAAUAGUCAGGAUGACUAAGCAGUCAGUGCUGGCUGCCAUGUCAACGGGACGGCCAGGCAGCAAACACACUGGAUCGUUCGUUAUGAGUCAGGAAUGAUCUGGGUAACAAAACUGUGGAAACAACCUUGAAGACACAUUAACAACCCGCCCUUUACACCAACGUGUGAUGGUUCGACCCUUUGACCUCCCGGAUGAGAAGGGGGACCCCCGGGGGGGGGGGGGGACAGGACAGGACAGGACUGGACAGGACGGGGGGUACGGAUGGUUCCAGAGCCACUCACCUCGUGCGGGCAGUUCUCGCAGGGCUGGAAGUGACACAGGCCCCUGGAGAGCUGCUCGGUCCCCUUGGAGCAGCAGGCGGCCACGCCCCGGUCGAUGGCCUGGUUCACCUUGGCCAGGGCGAAGAUGCAGAAGGCCGAGUUCCUCUGGGGCACGCCGCGCUCGUCCACCUCGGCGAACGCCCCGUACAGGAGCUUCUCGUUGGGGCUCCCCUUGGGGUUCAGCCCCAGCUGGGAGGCCAGCUCCCGGCCCACGGGGCCGUAGUGCGCCGCCUGCAGCCCGUUGAACACCACCCGGUGCUGCUCCUCCCCGCCGCGCCUCUUCCUCCGCCGCCGCUUGGGGUCGAAGCGGCACUCCAGCACCACCUCCCGGUACAUCCAGGCCUCCGAGUUCAUCAGGGGCAGCCGGCCCAGCCGCGUCUGCAGCGGGGAGCCGCUCUUCUCCGGGUUCUCCCGCUGCACCGACAGGAAGUACACGUGCUCGGCGGUGGCGAAGGUGUAGACGUAGUCGACGCGGUAGGACGCCCGCAGCGGGGGCAGCACCGUCAGCCCCUGCAUCGCCAUGUGGAAGCCGUCCUCGGUGGACAGCGGCCGCAGCACCGACAGCGACCUACGGGGCCAGCGGCUCGCCAGCUCCUCGUCCACGGAGUUGGCCACGAAGAAGAGGGUGGUUUGGCCCUGCUCCACCGCGCUGACCCGCGUGCCCAGCGGGCUGGCCAAGCAGUCGGGGCAGUAGGUCUCUGUGUUGUCCUGCUCCUUGAACAGGCAGUGGGACACGGGGCUCAGCUCGCUGAUGUCCAGGAAGGCGCACACCCCCUGCCGCGUGCUGCCGCAGUAGUACAGGUAGGGCAGGAGGGUGCCCGCCGGGUCUAAGAGGAGGACCUUGUUGUCCGUAUCCACGGGGGUCGCGGGCGGCGUCGUGGCAGCGUCGCAGGGGCCGCACGUGUGACAGUCGUCGGGGCCCACUGGGCCGGUACGCACCUCCCAUAUCCGUUUCAGGUCUCUGUCCACUGCCUCAAUGGCGUUCUGGGAGGCGAUGUACACCUCGCGCAGGUACGCGUUGGCUUGGAUGUUCUGGAUGGGAUUGGCGGUUUGGAAGUGGGGCAGGGUGUAGUUGACGUUAAAAUCCACCAGGCGGCGAGGGGUGGUAGGACAACUGGAUGUCGGCCCCGCGGCGGCGCGCGUCUGUAUCAACGCGCAUACUGUCAACAAGGAGGCGACCCACGUGACCAUCUCCUCUCCACCCCACGCUCCGACCUGACAGCGUGUUACCUACAGGACUCUGUUCUCGCCCGUAACAUUCCCGGGACCAGCGGGAGCAGCUCUGUGCGAGAACAGGGAGGAGGAGGCGCUGGGGUUAGAGAGUGAUGCUGCAGCGGAGAUUUAACAGACUGGGUGCUCACGUAUGAGUCACAGCACGGUGUUUUUUUAAACAGGGUCAUAACUAACAGUCACGCCAUGGUCCUUUAUGUAGCAUUUCAAGUGAACUUGUAUGUAAUAAGCCUACGUUGUUUAAUUCAAUAUAUUUAAAUAAAAAACGGUGGCGCAAACAACAGGAAAAAACACUAGGUGUUUGUUAUACAUAGGUUAAGGGUUUUGUAAGCCUUAGGCCUAUAGAUGAAAUAGUAGUUGGGGUUCAUAGCAAAGAAAAACGGUAAAUGUUGACGGUGUCGAGGAAAUGACAAGAUAGGACAUGACUGGCCAUGUAGGACUGUGGAAAUAUCCCACAGAUCGGGAAAUUUCACCGCCCCACCGUCGAUAGCUGUGAACUCACCUGACGGCCCGGGAGCAGACCGCCCCGCCCGCAACGAGGAAGUCAUGCUGGACGGAUUGCGAAACAUCAGCAUUUAAG